UACGUAGGUGGCAAGCGUUGUUCGGAAUUACUGGGCGUAAAGCGCGUGUAGGCGGCUCUUCAAGUCAGACGUGAAAGCCCCGGGCUUAACUCGGGAACUGCGUUUGAUACUGUCGAGCUAGAGUGUGGAAGGGGCGAUUGGAAUUCCGUGUGUAGCGGUGAAAUGCGUAGAUAUACGGAGGAACACCAGAGGCGAAGGCGGAUCGCUGGGCCAACACUGACGCUGAGACGCGAAAGCUAGGGGAGCAAACGGG
rnacentral:rRNA from 1 species